rnacentral:rRNA from 1 species
CCAUGCCGCGUGUGUGAAGAAGGCCUUCGGGUUGUAAAGCACUUUCAGUUGUGAGGAAAAGUUAGUAGUUAAUACCUGCUAGCCGUGACGUUAACAACAGAAGAAGCACCGGCUAACUCCGUGCCAGCAGCCGCGGUAAUACGGAGGGUGCGAGCGUUAAUCGGAAUUACUGGGCGUAAAGCGCACGCAGGCGGUUUGUUAAGCUAGAUGUGAAAGCCCCGGGCUCAACCUGGGAUGGUCAUUUAGAACUGGCAGACUAGAGUCUUGGAGAGGGGAGUGGAAUUCCAGGUGUAGCGGUGAAAUGCGUAGAUAUCUGGAGGAACAUCAGUGGCGAAGGCGACUCCCUGGCCAAAGACUGACGCUCAUGUGCGAAAGUGUGGGUAGCGAACAGGAUUAGAUACCCUGGUAGUCCACACCGUAAACGCUGUCUACUAGCUGUUUGUGACUUUAAGUCGUGAGUAGCGAAGCUAACGCGAUAAGUAGACCGCCUGGGGAGUACGGCCGCAAGGUUAAAACUCAAAUGAAUUGACGGGGGCCCGCACAAGCGGUGGAGCAUGUGGUUUAAUUCGAUGCAACGCGAAGAACCUUACCUACACUUGACAUGCAGAGAACUUUCCAGAGAUGGAUUGGUGCCUUCGGGAACUCUGACA